rnacentral:lncRNA from 1 species
CCUUUCAGGUCAUCCGGAAAUUUCGAAGUGUCUUCAUCAAACAGCAGACAAUGAGAACCUUUCCAGUGUAUGGUGCAGGGGUGCCUGGGGCAGAAAACGGGGGUAUUUUAGAACCUAGCAUGGCUUUGAAAAAGAGAGCCAACUGGAUUCCUUUUAUAAAGAUUAAGCCCAAACAAGAUCCCUGGCAGCAAAAGCUUUUGGCAAAACUGAAACAAUGGAAAAAAGUAGAUGAACUAUUGCAUCUUCAAUCAAAGUUUUUAGAGGUUUCUGACAUGGAGCAAGUGAUUGAAGUUCUCCAGGAGCAUGCGACAGAAGUGUUAGAGCCAAGUCCAGUGCGAUCAAGUUUUGUGACUUCUCACAGCUCAAGACAGCAUAACUAUGAUCGAAUCUGGGAGAGAAUUUAUAGCAACUCAGAGCUCCAGCAGGAUCAAAACACAGAGGAUAAUAAUCCUGCUGUGGCUAUGAAUGAGAAGGGUAUGGAAACUAUCAGUCUCAGCAACAAUCCAGCAUCUUCCAGGAAGAAGAAAGAAAG